rnacentral:rRNA from 1 species
UUAAGCUCAGCUAGACCAUACGUGCGGCUAUAUGGCUCACUCGCUAGGGGCACUAUAUGUGAACUUCUGAUCCUGAAAGCAACGAACGUGACCGCAACCUCUUGUUGUGCUAGCUCUAUAGCACAGCACAAACUAGAGGGACCGCUGUUACUUUUCUUAAACCAGAGGAAGGUUGCGGCAAUAACAGGUCUGUGAUGCCCUUCGAUGUUCCGGGCUGCACACGUGCUACAAUGAUCAUUGCAGUGAGCAUCUCUGUUUUUCACUUAUAGCUUGGUGAUAAUUCAUUAUCUCUGAACUAGGUCUACCCCUUACACGGCUCUACGCUAUAGUGGCGCUCUGUUCUAACUCUGGACUACACCCUCUUGGCUUCGGUCAUACGUAUGAGGGCUGUACCUGGUCUAGUUCAGAUAUGGAGUACCGCAUCAGCCGUCUGAGCCUUCGUGGGGUGACCUUAGCCUACCUCGAGACGUAUGCUUAGGGUAAUCAAUUACAAGUCAUGAUUUUCCAAUAUCACACACUGAUAUACGGCGUCCUAGUGGACGGCACUGCACUCUUGUGCGGUGCUAGCUCUAUCUGAGAUGUUCUUUAACCGUAUGUGCGAUUGUCAAUUCAUGGUGGGAACAGACCAUUGUUAACUGUUGGUCUCGGUCGUAACUAGGAAUGCCUUGUACGGGUCUUAGUUCAACAGACUACCCGGAAUACGUCCCUGCCCUUUGUUCACACCGCCCGUCGCUCUUGCCGAUGGACUUCACUGUGAGUUUGCCGGACUGGCGCACCAACUAUAUUCUAUAUACGCGGUGCCCUAUAGAAAGAUAAACGAACAGUGUCGUCUAAAGGAAAGAGAAGUCGAACAAGGCA